rnacentral:rRNA from 1 species
GGAAGGAUCAUUGUCGUGACCCUAACCAAAACAGACCGCGCACGCGUCAUCCAUGCCGCCGGGCGGCAGCCGCCGCUCGGCCCAGGCCCGACCUCCCCGGAGGGCGGGCCGCAACAGAACCCACGGCGCCGACGGCGUCAAGGAACACUGUGCCUACUAACCGGGGGCGCGAACGGCCCGGCCAGCCGGCGCCGGUCGCCCCCCGCGUUGCUACGCUAUCUAAUAAUCCACAUGACUCUCGGCAACGGAUAUCUCGGCUCUCGCAUCGAUGAAGAACGUAGCGAAAUGCGAUACCUGGUGUGAAUUGCAGAAUCCCGCGAACCAUCGAGUCUUUGAACGCAAGUUGCGCCCGAGGCCUUCGGGCCGAGGGCACGCCUGCCUGGGCGUCACGCCAAAAGACGCUCCCCACCCCCCCUCGGCGGGGCGGAGGACGCGGCGUUUGGCCCCCCGUGCCGCACGGCGCGGUGGGCCGAAGUUCGGGCUGCCGGCGCAGCACGCCGGGCACAGCACAAGGUGGGCGAUCUCGCACUCUCUUACGUGCAGUGCCCCGGCGUGUAGCCGGCGCAGCGGCCCAGGGACCCAUCGACCGGAGCGCACGUCGCUCGGACCGCGACCCCAG